ensembl:lncRNA
ACAACACUGUGUACUGUGUUGAUAGUAGUGCCUUGCGUUGGAGAUCGCUGGGAAAGACGGAGAGACUCCGGUGUACGAUAUAUACGCCUGCUGUGGUCUGCCCCCUGCCUUCGUCCAUCUGACACGCCCCGCCAGGACUCUGAGCCCGAAACGGGAAUACACCACGGAUCUUCUUUCACUGAGUGUGUGGAGUGCGGUGAGUGCUGCUAUAUUGAAGUGUACACACGAGAAGAAUUGUAGUGCCUUUGUGGUGUGUGGUGUUUGUCCGUGGCUGUGUCCCCGGUCGUAGGAAGAGGCCUGACAGAGAGGAGCAGUGUAUUGGUGGCAACCACAGUCUUUACCUUAAGUAAGCUGGAGCUUGGACGUGUUGGAGGCGCCUCUGGAGGAGCAACCACCGGCCUUGUGCAUGUCGUCUGUGCUGUCUCUUCGACGAGGGAAGCGAAGGACAACAGCCGAUCCUCCCCCGUGUGCCCCCUUGCCAAGCUGGGCGGGAAGCCCAGUAUUGUUUGCAGUCUCACCUGUAAGGCCCACCAGCCGUCAGUCAUCGACCAAACCCGUAUCUGCUUGGAAUACCGACCUCUGAAUAUCUUCAGUGGUGAGUAGCCAGUUAA